GUGCUCACAUCGCAGCACAUAUACUAAAAUUGGAACUAUACAGAGAAGAUUGGCAUUGCCCCUCCGCAAGGAGGACGUGCAAAUUCAUGAAGCCUUCCAUAUUUUU